rnacentral:rRNA from 1 species
CAGCCGCCACGGUAAUACAGAGGGUGCGAGCGUUAAUCGGAUUUACUGGGCGUAAAGCGUGCGUAGGCGGCUUCUUAAGUCGGAUGUGAAAUCCCUGAGCUUAACUUAGGAAUUGCAUUCGAUACUGGGAAGCUAGAGUAUGGGAGAGGAUGGUAGAAUUCCAGGUGUAGCGGUGAAAUGCGUUGAGAUCUGGAGGAAUACCGAUGGCGAAGGCAGCCAUCUGGCCUAAUACUGACGCUGAGGUACGAAAGCAUGGGGAGCAAACAGGAUUAGAGACCCCGGUAGUCCCUGUCUCUUAUAC